GAUGAACGCUGGCGGCGUGCUUAACACAUGCAAGUCGAACGGAAAGGCUCCUGCUUGCAGGGAUACUCGAGUGGCGAACGGGUGAGUAACACGUGGGUGAUAUGCCCUGCACUUCGGGAUAAGCCUGGGAAACUGGGUCGAAUACAGGACAGGACGACGGUUUGCAUGCGAUUGUGGAUAGAUUUUUCGGUGUGGGAUGAGCUCGCGGCCUAUCAGCUUGUUGGUGGGGUUAUGGCCUACCAAGGCGUAGACGGGUAGCCGGCCUGAGAGGGUGUACGGCCACAUUGGGCCUCAGAUACGGGCCAGACUCAUUCGGGAGGCAGCAGCGAGGAAUAUUGCGCGAUGGGCGCAGGCCUGAUGCAGCGUCGCCGCGUGGGAGAUGACGGCCUUCGGGUUGUAAACUCCUUGCGCUAGGGACGAAGCGCAAGUGACGGUACCUGGAGAAGAAGCGCCGGCUAACUACGUG
rnacentral:rRNA from 1 species